CAGAGGGAGACUUGGUAGCUGGCAAGGUGACAAGUCUGAAGUGUUUGCACCUUUAAUGGACAGUGACAAGGCAGCGCCGUUCACGGGAGCCAGCCAGACCCGGAACCGGCUCCUUCUGGGCCAAGGAGGUUCUUCAAUCACUUAUUUCUGGAUUUCCCUAAAAGCCGGAACAGCAGGUGAGGCAUCAUGAUGACAAGUCCCACCCCCAUAUAAGCUACUCCAGGCAAGGAGAAGACAUCGCCCAAGAAGGCUUUGAAAAGGGAG